rnacentral:rRNA from 1 species
AGCAGAGCCACGGGAACACGUAGGUGGCAAGCGUUGUCCGGAAUUAUUGGGCAUAAAGGGCAUCUAGGCGGCCAGACAAGUCUGGGGUGAAAACUUGCGGCUCAACCGCAAGCCUGCCCUGGAAACUGUUUGACUAGAGUGCUGGAGAGGUGGACGGAACUGCACGAGUAGAGGUGAAAUUCGUAGAUAUGUGCAGGAAUGCCGAUGAUGAAGAUAGUUCACUGGACGGCAACUGACGCUGAAGUGCGAAAGCUAGGGGAGCGAACAGGAUUAGAUACCCCUGUAGUCCCUGUCUCUUAUACA